rnacentral:misc_RNA from 1 species
GAUGAAGAACGCAGCGAACUGCGAUAAGUAAUGUGAAUUGCAGAAUUCAGUGAAUCAUCGAGUCUUUGAACGCACAUUGCGCCCCCUGGAAUUCCGGGGGGCAUGCCUGUUCGAGCGUCUCAGGGACGAACCCUCGCGCGGGUGUACGCGCGGUCGUGGCUGCGGUGGCGUGCCCGAGGCGGCGGCCACCGCGCUGGAAUCCAUGGGCGGACGCCUGCCGCGUGGCCGAGCGUGAUAUGACGCAUUGGCGCUCGCACGCGGCGAGGCUGCCAGCCCUGGCCCGUCUGUCGGGCGGGGGAGAGCAAGACACGUGAACUCCUCGAAUCAGGUAGGGAUACCCGCUGAACUUAAGCAUAUCAAUAAGCGGAGGA